rnacentral:tRNA from 1 species
AUUUAUAUAGUUUAAUAAAAACCAUACAUUUUCAUUGUAUAAAUAAUAAUUAUUAUUUGUAAAUA